rnacentral:tRNA from 1 species
GAGGCUUUAGCUUAAUUGAAAGUAUCUGGGUUGCAUUCAGAUGAUGUAGAUUAGAAUUUUACAGGUCUUA